GACGAACGCUGGCGGCGUGCUUAACACAUGCAAGUCGAGCGGUAAGGCCCUUUCGGGGGUACACGAGCGGCGAACGGGUGAGUAACACGUGGGUGACCUGCCCUCAGCUCUGGGAUAAGCCCGGGAAACUGGGUCUAAUACCGGAUAUGACUCCACGGUGCAUGUCGUGGGGUGGAAAGCCUUGUGCGGCUGAGGAUGGGCCCGCGGCCUAUCAGCUUGUUGGUGGGGUGAUGGCCACCAAGGCGACGACGGGUAGCCGGCCUGAGAGGGCGACCGGCCACACUGGGGACUGAGACACGGCCCAGACCCCUACGGGAGGCAGCAGUGGGGAAUCUUGCGCAAUGGGCGAAAGCCUGACGCAGCGACGCCGCGUGAGGAUGAC
rnacentral:rRNA from 1 species